UUUCUGGGCUAAGCAAGGGAUUAUUUUAUUAUGGUCUUCAUUUUACCACUAUUAAAUC
ensembl:misc_RNA